UAUUUGUUGUAGCAAUACAGUGAAUGUUUAGCGGCAGACGGGUGAGUAACACGUGAGAAAUCUACCUCCAAGAAGGGGACAACCUGCCGAAAGGCGGGCUAAUACCCUAUACAAUCCCUAGAAGGCAUCUUCAGGGGAUGAAAGGCCCGCAAGGGCCACUGGGAGAGGAUCUUGCGGCCUAUCAGCUAGUUGGCGGGGUAAUGGCCCACCAAGGCAACGACGGGUAGCCGGACUGAAAGGUCGAACGGCCACAAGGGCACUGAGACACGGGCCCUACUCCUACGGGAGGCAGCAGUGGGGAAUUUUGGACAAUGGGCGAAAGCCUGAUCCAGCAACGCUGCGUGGAGGAUGAAGGUCUUCGGA
rnacentral:rRNA from 1 species